rnacentral:rRNA from 1 species
AACGAACGCUGGCGGCAGGCCUAACACAUGCAAGUCGAGCGAAGCCUUCGGCCUUAGCGGCGGACGGGUGAGUAACGCGUGGGAACGUGCCCUUUGGUACGGAAUAGCCCCGGGAAACUGGGAGUAAUACCGUAUGUGCCCUUCGGGGGAAAGAUUUAUCGCCAAAGGAUCGGCCCGCGUUGGAUUAGGUAGUUGGUGGGGUAAUGGCCUACCAAGCCGACGAUCCAUAGCUGGUUUGAGAGGAUGAUCAGCCACACUGGGACUGAGACACGGCCCAGACUCCUACGGGAGGCAGCAGUGGGGAAUCUUAGACAAUGGGGGAAACCCUGAUCUAGCCAUGCCGCGUGAUCGAUGAAGGCCUUAGGGUCGUAAAGAUCUUUCAGUGGGGAAGAUAAUGACUGUACCCACAGAAGAAGCCCCGGCUAACUCCGUGCCAGCAGCCGCAGUAA